rnacentral:rRNA from 1 species
CGGACGGGUGAGUAACGCGUGAGAAUCUGCCCUCAGGAGGGGGAUAACAGUUGGAAACGACUGCUAAUACCCCAUAUGCCGAAAGGUGAAACGAAUUUCGCCUGGGGAUGAGCUCGCGUCUGAUUAGCUUGUUGGUGGGGUAAAGGCCUACCAAGGCUUCGAUCAGUAGCUGGUCUGAGAGGACGAUCAGCCACACUGGGACUGAGACACGGCCCAGACUCCUACGGGAGGCAGCAGUGGGGAAUUUUCCGCAAUGGGCGAAAGCCUGACGGAGCAACGCCGCGUGAGGGAUGAAGGCCUUUGGGCUGUAAACCUCUUUUCUCAAGGAAGAAGAUCUGACGGUACUUGAGGAAUAAGCCACGGCUAAUUCCGUGCCAGCAGCCGCGGUAAUACGGGAGUGGCAAGCGUUAUCCGGAAUUAUUGGGCGUAAAGCGUCCGCAGGCGGCCGUCUAAGUCUGUUGUUAAAUCGUGGAGCUUAACUCCAUCACGGCAAUGGAAACUGUUCGGCUUGAGUGUGGUAGGGGCAGAGGGAAUUUCCGGUGUAGCGGUGAAAUGCGUAGAUAUCGGGAAGAACACCAGUGGCGAAAGCGCUCUGCUAGGCCAUUACUGACGCUCAUGGACGAAAGCCAGGGGAGCGAAUGGGAUUAGAUACCCCAGUAGUC